rnacentral:rRNA from 1 species
UACGUAGGUGGCAAGCGUUGUCCGGAUUUACUGGGCGUAAAGGAUGCGUAGGCGGACAUUUAAGUCAGAUGUGAAAUACCCGAGCUUAACUUGGGUGCUGCAUUUGAAACUGGGUGUCUAGAGUGCAGGAGAGGUAAGUGGAAUUCCUAGUGUAGCGGUGAAAUGCGUAGAGAUUAGGAAGAACACCGGUGGCGAAGGCGCUUUCUGGACAGUAACUGACGCUGAGGCGCGAAAGCCGGGGGGAGCAAACAGG